UUAAAGAUUUACAUAUAAGAACUAACACCAUAAAAACCCUAGAAGAAAAUCUAGGCAACACCAUUUAGGACGGAGGCGCAGGCAAGGACUUCAAUGAAAAAAACACCAAAAGCAC